rnacentral:lncRNA from 1 species
UCAGAGUCAGAUGCAGAAGGAGAAUCAUAAUCAUAGACACAGGCAGAAGAAGUAGUGUUCACAUAGCCAAAAUAGGUAGACAUGAGAAAGAAGGGGGGAAAGAAGAAUACAAUGCAAAUAUGCAACUAAAGCUACCUAAAUGCAACACACAAUGAAGAACACACAAAACAGAACAUCACACUCACAACACAAGACAAAACACAACACACACUAACACAACAAAACACCUAAAACUGAACCGUUGGUCCCCGGCAAUGGUGCCAAAAUUU